GCUCAGGCUAGAGUAGUACUGGGAUGGGUGACCGCCUGGGAAGUCCUAGUAUUUUACAUGCC
rnacentral:rRNA from 1 species